GUCGAACAAUGUAAUGAGAGCUUGUGAGCCGAAUGGGGACAAUAAGAUGGUGGGACACUGCUUCAGCCCAGGGGUUGGUUCUUGUGUGGCAUAUUUCUGAGCUUCUCCAUCCAAACUGAGAGUUAUCUGUUUGAUUUGAGCGAAGUCCUGAGUCUGGUGGGUGCCAAAGUUGGAGGAUAAUGCGUCAGGCUGGUUUCAGAUCGACUACUUUCACUCUCAGCAGUGGACGGCAAACAGCUGAACCACAAUUAAAAAUAUUACAAAAAAGAAUAACAUGCAUGGAGGUACAACGUACCAUUGUU
rnacentral:SRP_RNA from 1 species